rnacentral:lncRNA from 1 species
CUGGAGAGGAACGGGGCUGAGAAUCUUGGGAUCAAGCCAUCAGCACAGCCCCAGCCCCAUUUUCGAAUGCUCUGUUGCAAUGUGUAACGAAAGUUCCCCUUGCAUCAUUCUGUCUGCAAGGUUCUUACUCAAUUUCUCCAAAGACCGUUACCCUGCAGAGAAAGGGGGCAAACCGUAUUUUGCCAGGGAGCUCCUGGUGCAUUCGGAGACCCUCCCAGCCCUGUGCUGCCCGGGGUGCAGUCCAGGCUCUCCAGGAGCCUGCAUGCUCAAGGCAGAAACAGACAUGUUAAAACAAACUGUCGGGCUCCUGAGAAGCUGAGCUUGAGAAGAGCUGCCCCUGUGAGACUGGUUUUUUGAGGAAAUGCCCGCUGGGGAAACUGGAGAGGGUGUUGUAGGCCAAAGAAGACAAGAAAGC